rnacentral:piRNA from 1 species
UCCUCCAUUCAUGCCUCAGAGGUUGGGAC